AUGAGCUGCAGGCUUCUCCUCUAUGUUUCCCUAUGUCUUGUGGAAACAGCACUCAUGAACACUAAAAUUACUCAGUCACCAAGAUAUCUAAUCCUGGGAAGAGCAAAUAAGUCUUUGGAAUGUGAGCAACAUCUGGGACAUAAUGCUAUGUACUGGUAUAAACAGAGCGCUGAGAAGCCGCCAGAGCUCAUGUUUCUCUACAAUCUUAAACAGUUGAUUCGAAAUGAGACGGUGCCCAGUCGUUUUAUACCUGAAUGCCCAGACAGCUCCAAGCUACUUUUACAUAUAUCUGCCGUGGAUCCAGAAGACUCAGCUGUCUAUUUUUGUGCCAGCAGCCAAGA